CACCACCACAUCACCACUGCACUAGCACACACACCACCAUCAUCACAUCACCACUGCACUAGCACACACACCACCACCACCACAUCACCACUGCACUAGUACACACACCACCACCAUCACAUCACCACUGCACUAGUACACACACCAUCACCAUCACAUCACCACUGCACUAGUACACACACCAUCACCACCACAUCACCACUGCACUAAUACACACACCAUCACCACAUCACCACUGCACUAGCACACACACCACCAUCACCACAUCACCACUGCACUAGUACACACACCACCACCACCACAUCACCACUGCACCAGUACACACACC
rnacentral:lncRNA from 1 species